rnacentral:misc_RNA from 1 species
GGAAUCAAUGUCUGCUCAGGUGAUCUAUUUAAACUUUACAAUAAUUGGGUGAACAAAUGAUAAAUGCUAAUGUUUAAAUUGAUUUUUCACUUUACGUUCCGUCUAAGGCUUGUAACACAAUGCAAAGAAUUUAUCUUUGUCGCAUUCUUAUUUUAAUUGUUAAGAUGCGGGCUAGAGAUUUACCUAAUCUUUCCCACCUCCUUAUUACUAGUCAUUCACUAAGAGCAACUAUUUGUCUUCCUUGUAUCAACCAAGUUUUGAAUUAAUUUCAAACAACAAAGAGGAAAGAAGAUUUAGCAACUUCUAGUGAUCACUCAGACUGCCUUUUAAUACAUGUUGGCCAAUGUCUGCGCUAUCAAAAUUUUGUUGCUCAAGCCCCACUAUAAUGUGAUUUCUUCCAGAAUAUUUUAAAUGCUAUUAUAUUUAUGUGCCGCUUUCACUUACAUGGCGGUAUGACAUUUAGGGUUUGUUUAGCAUUGUUGUUGAGAAAAACAUCUCCUUAACUAUGUUUGUUAGAAGUUAUUAAAAAUUGGUUUAAAAUUAA